CACCGCCGCGGGAAUACGGAGGGGGCUAGCGUUGUUCGGAAUUACUGGGCGUAAAGCGCACGUAGGCGGCUUUGUAAGUCAGAGGUGAAAGCCCGGGGCUCAACCCCGGAAUUGCCUUUGAGACUGCAUCGCUUGAAUCCAGGAGAGGUGAGUGGAAUUCCGAGUGUAGAGGUGAAAUUCGUAGAUAUUCGGAAGAACACCAGUGGCGAAGGCGGCUCACUGGACUGGUAUUGACGCUGAGGUGCGAAAGCGUGGGGAGCAAACAGGAUUAGAUACCCCUGUAGUCCCUGUCUCUUAUACC
rnacentral:rRNA from 1 species